rnacentral:rRNA from 1 species
UAGUCCACGCCGUAAACGAUGUCUACUAGUCGUUGGGUCCCUUGAGGACUUAGUGACGCAGCUAACGCAAUAAGUAGACCGCCUGGGGAGUACGGCCGCAAGGUUAAAACUCAAAUGAAUUGACGGGGGCCCGCACAAGCGGUGGAGCAUGUGGUUUAAUUCGAUGCAACACGAAGAACCUUACCUGGUCUUGACAUAUCUAGAAUCCUGCAGAGAUGCGGGAGUGCCUUCGGGAAUUAGAAUACAGGUGCUGCAUGGCUGUCGUCAGCUCGUGUCGUGAGAUGUUGGGUUAAGUCUCGCAACGAGCGCAACCCUUGUCCUUAGUUACCAGCUGGUUAAGCCGGGAACUCUAAGGAUACUGCCAGUGACAAACUGGAGGAAGGCGGGGACGACGUCAAGUCAUCAUGGCCCUUACGACCAGGGCUACACACGUGCUACAAUGGUAGGUACAGAGGGCAGCUACACAGCGAUGUGAUGCGAAUCUCAAAAGGCCUAUCGUAGUCCAGAUUGGAGUCUGCAACUCGACUCCAUGAAGUAGGAAUCGCUAGUAAUCGCGGAUCAGAAUGCCGCGGUGAAUACGUUCCCGGGCCUUGUACACACCGCCCGU